AGAGGAUGAUCAGCCACACUGGAACUGACACACGGUCCAGACUCCUACGGGAGGCAGCAGUGAGGAAUUUUGCGCAAUGGGGGAAACCCUGACGCAGCAACGCCGCGUGAGUGAUGAAGGCCCUCGGGUCGUAAAGCUCUGUCAAGUGGGGAGAAAAUGUAAAAUGCUAAUAUCAUUUUGCACUGACGGUACCACUGAAGGAAGCACCGGCUAACUCCGUGCCAGCAGCCGCGGUAAUACGGAGGGUGCAAGCGUUAUUCGGAAUUAUUGGGCGUAAAGGGCGCGUAGGCGGCCCUUUAAGUCAGAUGUGAAAGCCCGGGGCUUAACCCCGGAAGUGCAUUUGAAACUAAAGGGCUUGAGUAUGGGAGAGGGAAGUGGAAUUCCUGGUGUAGCGGUGAAAUGCGUAGAUAUCAGGAGGAACACCGGUGGCGAAGGCGACUUCCUGGACCAAUACUGACGCUAAGGCGCGAAGGCGUGGGUAGCAAACAGGAUUAGAUACCCUGGUAGUCCACGCAGUAAACGGUGAACACUAGGUGUAGCGGGUAUUGACCCCUGCUGUGCCGCAGCUAACGCAUUAAGUGUUCCGCCUGGGGAGUACGGUCGCAAGAUUAAAACUCAAAGGAAUUGACGGGGGCCCGCACAAGCGGUGGAGCAUGUGGUUUAAUUCGACGCAACGCGAAGAACCUUACCUGGAUUUGACAUCCCGGGAAGUCUUUUGAAAGAAAGAUGUGCCCUUCGGGGAACCCGGUGACAGGUGCUGCAUGGCUGUCGUCAGCUCGUGUCGUGAGAUGUUGGGUUAAGUCCCGCAGCGAGCGCAACCCCUAUCUUUAGUUACCAUCAUUUAGUUGGGGACUCUAAAGAUACUGCUCCGGUUAACGGGGAGGAAGGUGGGGAUGACGUCAAGUCCUCAUGGCCUUUAUGUCCAGGGCUACACACGUGCUACAAUGGGCUGUACAAAGGGUUGCGAACCCGCGAGGGUGAGCCAAUCCCAGAAAGUAGCUCCUAGUUCGAAUUGGAGUCUGCAACUCGACUCCAUGAAGCUGGAAUCGCUAGUAAUCGUGGAUCAGCAUGCCACGGUGAAUACGUUCCCGGGCCUUGUACACACCGCCCGUCACACCAUGAGAGUUGGUUGUACCAGAAGUUGUUGGACUAACCUGUAAAGGAAGUAGGCACCUAAGGUAUGGCUGAUGAUUGGGGUGAAGUCGUAACAAGGUA
rnacentral:rRNA from 1 species